GGGGCCGUAGCUCAAUUGGGAGAGCGUCUGCAUGGCAUGCAGAAGGUUUUGAGGGUUCGAUCCCCUUCGGCUCCA
rnacentral:tRNA from 1 species